rnacentral:rRNA from 1 species
UUCGGAUUGCAGGUUGCAACCCGCCUGUAUGAAGUUGGAAUCGCUAGUAAUCGCGGAUCAGCAUGCCGCGGUGAAUACGUUCCCGGGCCUUGUACACACCGCCCGUCACACCAUGAGAGUCGGGAACACCCGAAGUCCGUAGCCUAACCGCAAGGAGGGCGCGGCCGAAGGUGGGUUCGAUAAUUGGGGUGAAGUCGUAACAAGGUAUC